CCAAACAAAAGACAUUCUAUAAUCAGGGGAGAAGUCUUCUCUAUAUCUCUCUUAUAUGAGCAAAUUUAAUGACCUCCACCAUCUCUAAGAACAAGCAGCUAUUUCUGUAGAGAAAGAUCGUCUUUGGAUAACAAUACAUGAUUUUAGGCUCCAAAAGUUAAAACGUGUUUGUAAUGUUGAUAUUAUGCAGAGGUCUUGACAGAACUUGGCAGUCUCUGAGGCUACAGAGAAGUGUGAAAAAGAGCAUAGAGAUUUCAGAAGGAGGCAGAUUCAGUCAGACGUACUGAAUCCCGUUUGAUCUCAACUCAGGCACACUCCAGAUGGACGGAGCAGGAAAACCCUUAGUGAAACCUGCCUCUGCAGGUUGAUGGCUUGGGAGGAAAGGCAUUAUGGAAAAUGAUUAGAUGUGAGAAUCACAGCAAAGGAAGAAUGGGCAUGAAUAGUAAAUGGUAAAUGUGGGGAUACAGUACUGAACAGCACACUGGAGUUUUUGUCCAGAAGUUUGACUUUAGAAGAUAAGAAAUAACUGAGCGUACAAGCAGGAGUUAGAGGAAGAGACUCAGUACAGAAGAGACAGGAACAAAAGUUCACCUCCAUUCAAUGGGAAAGGAUACAGAUCAAGAGUUCAGGAAAAGUAGGAGAAAGAAGCUCUAUUCCAGAAGCAGUCUGGAGCACAAAGAAUCCCUAAUCACUGACAUUAAGAAAGAAGAAAAAUAUUCCUAGGACGAUCCUGGAGAGCAAAG
rnacentral:antisense_RNA from 1 species